AUGAAACUCUCAAGAUUUUUUCACAACUUUCAAGGAAACCAAUUGAUGAAGCUUCAAAGGAAAACAAGAGUUACCUCUUCAGUGACACUUGGUAAUAAUGUUCAAAGAAAGGCAACACUUGAGUGCUUGGUUAGAAAACUAUUCUUUAAGUUGAAGAAUUGCUGGAAACAAUCUCUUGGGUGGAAAAGGAGGAGUCCACAGUAUAGCUAUGAUCUUCAAAGCUAUUGUCUUAAUUUUGAUGAUGGCGCUUCAAAUGAUUGUAUGAUUCCAUCUCAUGUUUGUUGA